CUUCCUAUCGUACGGAUUGUGAUAAGGGGUCAUACUAAAUAUCAAAACAAUUAAUUCUUUAUUUUUUAUUAAUAGGCAUAAUCAAGAGUAGUGUUUUUCCACAACUUUAUAAGCCAAUGACUUAAUUAAUAAUUCUAAGGUUGAAAAAACUGAACUAUGAGUAGAAUUUGAAGUGCUUUUUUAAUUUUGAAGUACUGAGCUUGACAUUAUUAAACGCCUUAGAAAUUGCAACAUGUUUGUCAUUUUCCAAUUGAUCGAUGGUGUUAAAUAGUAUUGCUUUCAAAUAAAUUGAUUAAUUGCUCGUUCACACAAUAAUUUUUCAAUAGUUUCAGCUACAGAAAGAGCAGUGAGAUCGAUAAUUCUCUACUUUACUGAUUUAUUAUCUACCUUUUUCAUGCACUAGUGCUGCUUUAGAAAUUUUCAAACAAUUAUAGGGAAUUAACCUCUGAUUUAAUUAUCAAAAGCUGUGAUAACGCCUUGUCAUUCUAACUGAAUCAUCUCGUAUACUAAAUCUUGUUCGUGAUUCAUGUUUUGAACAUAAAAACACCAAAUUUUGACUACAUUUAUCAUUUAUCAGUUAAACUAGGGUCAUUGCUAGCAACAAACGCAAAAUGAAAUUUUCUGCAAUAACACUUGCUGUUUUUGUUUUCCUUGAAUUUGUUUACACUAAAGAGGUAGAUUGCGGCGAUAGAGAAUUUAUUUGUUACGAUGAAAAGCGAUUUUAUCAGUGUGUCCAAGUACGAAAAAAUCGACGACUUGUUUUGGGACAGUUACAGAACUGUCCUCAAGGGCUCAUCUGCAAACAUAACGGAACACUUGAGUGUGAGGAACCAGAUCCGUAAAUGUAAAAAUUUCAUGUUCUUGUUAUAUUCGUACCUAGUUUUAAGAAAGCAAUGAUUUUUCAAUAAAUAACAUUUUUUAUU